GGGAAAAGCAAGCAAACAAGUUGUCACAGCCACUCCCUGGGCAGAAAGGGGCUGAGUCACAAUACGGAGGAAUGACACUCAGGCUCCAGGCAGCUUUGGGACCAGAAAUCAGCUCUGCCAAUGGGGCGUGGCCAAGUCACUGUGACCUUGGAAGGAGAUGUGGAAGGGGUAGAGCUUACAAGAGGAUGUCGCUUCCUAUGGCUCAUGGAGAUGAGUUUCUUUAAAAGACAAGUCAGCAGACUGUCCUUGUGCAUAACUGUGGUGCCUUUCUGACAAGAGCCAUCCUGGGGGGGGGGGGGCAGCGGGGCAUCUCCAUUUUUGCUGCUCAUUUCUGCAGAGCACUGGAGAGCAGGUGUGGUCGCAGAAGGUUGACCGUCUUGCUGAGCUCCCCAAACCCAAUUACACGGUAUGCUUAUCUUCCAGAACAUCUAUCUAGCAGGGACUGGUUGGACAGGGGGCCCCAUAGCCAGUCAAGAAUUUUUGUUUCUCAUUUUCCUGCCCCACUGAGGUCCCAGGGCUUAAUGGAAUGUGAAACUGUACGGUUUCCUCUGUGCUAGCUAACUCAGAAGCAACAGUUUCUUAAGCAACGGUUUCUUAAAAAGCUCGGAAGAUCAAUUCAACAUUCCGUGGGAGCCUUUCCCCGGCAGAUAAAAUACCCUAGCUGAGUGGAAAGCAAGCAAACUGGUAUUGGGGUUCAGGACCCACGCGAAGCCUCCGAGAGCACUAAUGGAGAAGAGUAUUGUGCUUCCACCCAGAGGCGGCACCAAACUCCAGCAGGGACACGGGAAUGUGAAGGGUAGGGCUGGCCCUUCGCAGCAUGGGAAGAAGGAGGAGAUGCUUUUGAAUGAAAGCCCUGAUGUUUAAUGUUCUCCCGUAUAAAGGCCAUGACCCUGGAAUGUCUCCAACCUAAUCUAACAGUUGACCUCAACCAAGUC